AUGCGAGCGUUAUCCGGAUUUAUUGGGUUUAAAGGGUGCGUAGGCGGUUUUUUAAGUUAGUGGUUAAACGUCGGGGCUUCACCUUGAUUUGCCAUUAAUACUGUAGAGCUAGAGAACAGACGAGGUAGGCGGAAUAAGUUAAGUAGCGGUGAAAUGCAUAGAUAUAACUUAGAACACCGAUAGCGAAGGCAGCUUACCAGACUGAGUCUGACGCUGAUGCACGAGAGCAUGGGUAGCGAA
rnacentral:rRNA from 1 species